GUUAAGCCAUAAGAGCAUGCAGCACAUAGUUGUAUUUAUUUCCAUAGAUAGAAUCAAUUUAUGAUGACACAUUUAAAGUGAUUUGUUUGCAUUUUAGUGACAUAGGUACCAUUACCCAGACCAGCACGCCCAGGUAGGACCCACAUAUGUUUCAAGGUGGGCUUCCUACAUGGGAAGUUCGUGGGAUACACUUGGUUCCCACUUGGGCUGUCCAUGUGGGUACUGACUGGGCGCUAGGUGGGUAGUUUUUUUGUUUGUAUGUGUUUGUUUGUUUUUGUUUGUUUGUUUGUGCUUUUAAAUUCCAUCACCAUCAUCAAGUUGCUUUGGGUCAAAAAGAAUUGGCAUGCAGUUCAUUUUGUGAAAUUCGGGAAUAUUGUUAGCCAAUGUCAGAUAACAACUGCCUGUGGCAUUAGUUAACCUUUCACUGAUGUUUUGUUGGCACAAACAGCAUAAUUCCCAAUUGGUUGGACUAGAUACAGGCCUACUAUCUGCCUGUGAUGAAGGCGUGGAGUGUAUUUCUGUCUGUGUGUCAAUUGCUGUUGUCUAGGCCGGGGGAUUAUCCUUAUAUACCACCUAUUAAAGACAACUUACUGUACUACUCUACACUAAAAAGUAUGGGAUACAACUGGGCUCAGAUAAUAACAAGAUCACUACCCUACCCCCAGCCCGAUCAUUCAUCCAAUGCUAUUUAAUUCCUGUGUGAGCUGUACACCUUCCAGAAGACUAAAGCCCCAUCUUCCUUGGCUCGGCUCUCCCGCGCUGGCACAUCCUGUCAAUUCAGGUGCGGUUGUUUAACUUUAACUUGGGGCAAACUAAACAGCAUUUAGGAAACUAGACAAUUUAUUUAGACAAAUUUACUAGCUAGCAUUGAACCCCAUGCUGAGUCUCACAGCUAUAGUGUCAACCAGUGUGCCCUGGUAGUGUAAUGACACUACACAAUAUAUUAUUGAUUUGUCAUGUUAUAUGGUGUGGCCAUUUUUAAAACAAAUAUGGCCUUUCAUAAUAGCUCAUGUCUAUGACAUAUAAAUAACCCUGAUCUACUAUGAAUAAAUAUAUUACAAACUUCCAAACAGCAGCUAUAAUGACCAACAAAAUACUGAAUUCUUCCCAUUUCUAUUUCUGGGCGGCCAUCUUUUAAAAUGGUUGAAAUCUGCUUAGCCAAAGGUUGAUUCUAAAAUAUGGUCAUAUAAAGGUCAUAUGUACCAAAUUAUAUGGUUGUAUCACCAUUUUGAUCAUCCUUUCAAAAAUCAAUUUAGAGUGUGACUAGGCCGCCAUAUUGGAUAUUUGCUGCCAUAUUGGAACCUAAUAUGUUGUUUUUAAUUGGUAUAAAUACCUAAAACAUAUUAUAUUAUUUCAAAGGUAGGGUAAAUGUAUGAUUUAUAGCUGCAGCAGAG